rnacentral:rRNA from 1 species
AGAGUUUGAUCAUGGCUCAGGAUGAACGCUAGCGGCAGGCCUAAUACAUGCAAGUCGAACGGAUCUGGAGACUUCGGUUUCCAGGUUAGUGGCGCACGGGUGCGUAACGCGUAUGCAACCUACCUUUUAUUGGGGGAUAGCCCGUCGAAAGACGGAUUAAUACCGCAUAAGAUCACUUGAUGGCAUCUGAAGGUGAUUAAAGCUACGGCGAUAGAAGAUGGGCAUGCGUGACAUUAGCUAGUUGGUUGAGGUAACGGCUCACCAAGGCGACGAUGUCUAGGGGUUCUGAGAGGAUGAUCCCCCACACUGGUACUGAGAUACGGACCAGACUCCUACGGGAGGCAGCAGUAGGGAAUAUUGGGCAAUGGACGCAAGUCUGACCCAGCCAUGCCGCGUGCAGGAUGAAGGCCUUCUGGGUUGUAAACUGCUUUUAUCUAGGAAGAAAAAACUCUUGCGAGAGGAACUGACGGUACUAGAUGAAUAAGCACCGGCUAACUCCGUGCCAGCAGCCGCGGUAAUACGGAGGGUGCAAGCGUUGUCCGGAUUUAUUGGGUUUAAAGGGUGCGUAGGCGGCCUUAUAAGUCAGUGGUGAAAGCCCAUCGCUCAACGAUGGAACUGCCAUUGAUACUGUAAGGCUUGAGUACAGACGAGGUAGGCGGAAUUGAUGGUGUAGCGGUGAAAUGCAUAGAUACCAUCAAGA